rnacentral:rRNA from 1 species
AGUGAACGCUGGCGGUAGGCCUAACACAUGCAAGUCGAACGGCAGCACAGUAAGAGCUUGCUCUUACGGGUGGCGAGUGGCGGACGGGUGAGGAAUACAUCGGAAUCUACUUUUUCGUGGGGGAUAACGUAGGGAAACUUACGCUAAUACCGCAUACGACCUACGGGUGAAAGCAGGGGAUCUUCGGACCUUGCGCGAUUGAAUGAGCCGAUGUCGGAUUAGCUAGUUGGCGGGGUAAAGGCCCACCAAGGCGACGAUACGUAGCUGGUCUGAGAGGAUGAUCAGCCACACGUGAACUGAGACACGGUCCAGACUCCUACGGGAGGCAGCAGUGGGGAAUAUUGGACAAUGGGCGCAAGCCUGAUCCAGCCAUACCGCGUGGGUGAAGAAGGCCUUCGGGUGGUAAAGCCCUUUUGUUGGGAAAGAAAAGCAGCAGGUUAAUACCCCGCUGUUCUGACGGUACCCAAAGAAUAAGCACCGGCUAACUUCGU